GCCAGUCGUGGGGAUAACGUAGGGAAACUUACGCUAAUACCGCAUGGCCGCCCGUUCGGGGGGAAAGCCCGGGGGACCUUCGGGGCCUGGCGCGAUUGGAUGAGCCCACGUCGGAUUAGCUAGUUGGCGGGUAAAGGCCCACCAAGGCGACGAUCCGUAGCUGGUCUGAGAGGAUGAUCAGCCACACUGGAACUGAGACACGGUCCAGACUCCUACGGGAGGCAGCAGUAGGGAAUAUUGGACGAUGGGCGCAAGCCUGAUCCAGCCAUGCCGCGUGAGUGAAGAAGGCCCUCGGGUUGUAAAGCUCUUUUGUCCGGAAAGAAAAGCGCCGGGUUAAUACCCUGGUGUCCUGACGGUACCGGAAGAAUAAGCACCGGCUAACUUCGUG
rnacentral:rRNA from 1 species